rnacentral:rRNA from 1 species
UACGUAGGUGGCAAGCGUUGUCCGGAUUUAUUGGGCGUAAAGCGCGCGCAGGCGGUUCGAAAAGUCCAUGGUGAAAGCGCCUGGCUCAACUGGGCGAGUGCCGUGGGAACUGUCGAGCUGGAGGGAAGCAGAGGCGAGUGGAAUUCCGGGUGUAGUGGUGAAAUGCGUAGAGAUCCGGAGGAACACCAGUGGCGAAGGCGGCUCGCUGGGCUUUACCUGACGCUGAGGCGCGAAAGCGUGGGGAGCGAACCGG